GGGCUUCUUCGUAGGUGGGGAUGGCAGUGGCGUCCCAGGAGCUGCAGUUCCACUUCUCCGGGGGCUCGGCAGUGAAGUACUGCAGGUCACGGGGGAAGCGGUACUGGUAGCGCCGCGACACCACCCUGGCGUUGGCCUUGACGGACCAGAGCAGCCCAAAGAGGAGCAGGAUGCCGCCGAUGCCGCAGCAGAAGAAGCUGACGGAGCGCAGCAGCGCGUUGGAGGAGCUGGGCACAGCCUGGGCCUCGCGGGGGGGCAGGAGGUGAGCCCCGCUGCCCACUGCUGUGCCCACCUCCCCGUCGCUCCACCAGGCGAAGCACAGCGUCCCCGUCACCAGCAGCACGGCCCCGGUGAUGGUGAUGCCGUAGCGGAACGAGGCGGCCGCCAUCCUUCGGGCGUUAGCACGGCUGGGAGGGGAGGGGGCCGAGGUGAUGCAUGGGAGCUCACGGCCCGCCGCCUCCGGCCCCGCUCCGCCCGGC
rnacentral:lncRNA from 1 species